rnacentral:rRNA from 1 species
GACGAACGCUGGCGGCGUGCCUAAUACAUGCAAGUUGAGCGCUGAAUGUUGGUACUUGUACCGACUGGUUGAUCAGCGAACGGGUGAUUAACUCGUGGUGAAUCUGCCUUUCCGCGGGGGACACUAUUUGGAAAUGAUUGCUACUACCCCAUAAAAACUUUCAACACAAUUUUCCCGUUUUACAUUUGCAAUUUCUUCCCUCAAAAAUCUUCCCGCGUUGUAUUAGCUAGUUGGUGAGGUAAGGGCUCACCAAGGCGAGGAUACAUAGACGACCUGAGAGGGUGAUAGGCAAAAUUGGGACGGAGACACGGCCCAAAAGCCUACGGGAGGCAGCAGGAGGGAAUCUUCGGGGAUGGACGAAAGUCUGACCGAGCAACGACGCGUGAGUGAAGAAGGUAUUAGGAUCGUAAAACUCAGGUGGUAGAGAAGAACGUUGGUGAGAGUGGAAAGCUAAUAAAGUGACGGUAACUAGACAGAAAGGGACGGCUAACUACGUG